CAUGCCGGGUCUUUUUAUACAUCUUCCCUCUUUCAGCUUUUCUAUGAGCUAAAGCCUUAUCUCUUUCUUCCUUCUUUGCUUUAAUAAUAGCCUCCCUCUCAAUUCUUGCUUCCUCUUUCUCUUUGUGCUGCUUCUCAUACAUUUCUCUCAAACUGUAGGAACCAUUCUUCUUGUUGUUCUUCUUCUUCAUCAUUUUACUACUUUCUCCACUUUCAUUCUUAUCCUCCAUAGGUCUGACAACUGAAGAGUGAUCAUCCGGCUGAUUUUGUUGCUUUAGCUUUUUCUUAAACAUUCUCACAUACUUUGCAUUCUUAUAGAACUCUCUUUGC
rnacentral:misc_RNA from 1 species